AUGGCUCAGGAUGAACGCUAGCUACAGGCUAACACAUGCAAGUCGAGGGCAGCAUGGGAGUUGCUUGCAACUUCCGGAUGGCGACCGGCGCACGGGUGAGUAACGCGUAUCCAACCUGGCCCUUAGUAGGGAACAGCCCGGCGAAAGUCGGAUUAAUGCCCUAUGUUUUCCAAUGAUGGCAUCUGACUUGGAACAAAGAUUCAUCGCUAAGGGAUGGGGAUGCGUCUGAUUAGCUUGUCGGCGGGGUAACGGCCCACCGAGGCGACGAUCAGUAGGGGUCUGAGAGGAAGGUCCCCCACAUUGGUACUGAGACACGGACCAAACUCCUACGGGAGGCAGCAGUGAGGAAUAUUGGUCAAUGGGCGCGAGCCUGAACCAGCCAAGUAGCGUGCAAGGGAAGACUGCCCUAUGGGUUGUAAACUGCUUUUAUGCGGGAAUAAAGUCAGGUACGCGUACCUGUUUGUAUGUACCGCAUGAAUAAGGACCGGCUAAUUCCGUGCCAGCAGCAGC
rnacentral:rRNA from 1 species